rnacentral:rRNA from 1 species
GAUGAACGCUGGCGGCGUGCCUAAUACAUGCAAGUCGAGCGAACAGACGAGGAGCUUGCUUCUCUGAUGUUAGCGGCGGACGGGUGAGUAACACGUGGAUAACCUACCUAUAAGACUGGGAUAACUUCGGGAAACCGGAGCUAAUACCGGAUGAUAUUUUGAACCGCAUGGUUCAAAAGUGAAAGACGGUUUUGCUGUCACUUAUAGAUGGAUCCGCGCUGCAUUAGCUAGUUGGUAAGGUAACGGCUUACCAAGGCAACGAUGCAUAGCCGACCUGAGAGGGUGAUCGGCCACACUGGAACUGAGACACGGUCCAGACUCCUACGGGAGGCAGCAGUAGGGAAUCUUCCGCAAUGGGCGAAAGCCUGACGGAGCAACGCCGCGUGAGUGAUGAAGGUCUUCGGAUCGUAAAACUCUGUUAUUAGGGAAGAACAUAUGUGUAAGUAACUGUGCACAUCUUGACGGUACCUAAUCAGAAAGCCACGGCUAACUACGUG